rnacentral:rRNA from 1 species
CCUACGGGUGGCAGCAGUAGGGAAUCUUUCACAAUGGGCGAAAGCCUGAUGGAGCAACGCCGCGUGCAGGAUGAAGGCCUUAGGGUUGUAAACUGCUUUUAUAAGCGGGAAAUAUGAUGGUAACUUAUGAAUAAGGAUCGGCUAACUACGUGCCAGCAGCCGCGGUCAUACGUAGGAUCCGAGCAUUAUCCGGAGUGACUGGGUGUAAAGAGUUGCGUAGGUGGCAUAAUAAGUAGCUAGUGAAAUCUGGUGGCUCAACCAUUCAGACUAUUAGGUAAACUGUUAAGCUCGAGACCGUUAGGGGUAACUGGAAUUUCUAGUGUAGGAGUGAAAUCCGUAGAUAUUAGAAGGAACACCAAUAGCGUAGGCAGGUUGCUGGGACGGUUCUGACACUAAGGCACGAAAGCGUAGGGAGCAAACGGGAUUAGAUACCCCAGUAGUC